CCCUUGAGAGGGAUCGUUUACGCUUUGUGGGUGGGUUUUCGGAGUUGUUUAGUGACUCCAAUGAUUCCUCCAAAUCGGUCGUCGCCGAUGCCUUUUCCGUUUCCGAUUUCUUUGGAUCUACUACCGCGAACACUAAUCCCAUGGUGCUCCAUGGAUUCGCCCCUGAUUCGGAGCCGGAGGUUGAUUCAAGUGUUGCCCUUGUUCGAGCCAGGCGAUCGCUGUUUUGGAUACCUUCUUCGUCGACCCGGGGUAGGAUUGAAGCGGCUCCAUUGAGUUGCUCUUCUACCAGUGGAGUUGUCAUCGAUAUGCUUCGUAUAUACUGUCCUCUCACCGUCGAGCCACUGGAGUACCGUGUUGGAGGAAAAAUUGAAAAUCAUUUGGGUCAAUGAUUUACUAUCCUACGGCUACAUGUUGGAUGGUAUGAUCUCUACAGGUGAGGCCUUCGAUUCUUGUUGUUUUCUAACAAAAAUUGCGCUAUAUUGUUGAGUUCCACGCUCGUUAGAUUCUUCCUUCUCUUCAUUUGAGGUGAAAAAUUGAGAGAAGAAUGUAAUUGUUUAUUGCACUGUCCGUGGCCGCUGUAUGUUUGUGAAAAAAUUGUGUAUUUGCAUCAUUUAAGUGUAUUAUUGUCUAUUUAUAUUAAUUAUGUAUUAAACAACCAUAUA